GCAUCCUCUCUGGUGGGCGGGGCUCUGAGUGAGCUCGGGCCUGAGCGGCGGGAAACUGACUCCAGGCCCUGCGUCCGGCUCCCGGCCCUGCUUUCCUCGCCGCCGCAGGGGAGUGGAGGUGCCGAGAGCCACUGCUCCCUGGACUCUGCAGCACUGGUUCCUACCAGAGGCAGUAGCCAUGCUGGUGUUAUACUAGACUCUAGGAGUCAGCAGCGAGAUGGAGGAAGCCACCUUAUUUUCCUUUAAUUAAAAAGACAGAAGGAAGGAAGGAAACCUUUGAGACAAAUACCUUUUCUAAUCACCAUUUCCGAUAAUGAACAGGCAUACAUCAGGCCGUUUGCAUUACAGAACCAUCAGCACAGAACAACAGUCGGAGGAAAAGAAACUCUUCUUUGAAGAAAAGCUUGCAACCUGUCCUAAGCUUCUGUGGCCAUUCAGAAAGGAGUAAUCAUAAAUAAAUGUAAUCAAGGGGAUGGGAUAUAUUUGUCCAGAAAUGUUUUUACAUGGAAAAAUGUGUGAAGUCUUACUUGAAACUAUGAUAUACAAUAUUCAAAUUGUAACCCAGUGUGUUCUAGAAUCGUCUUCAUAAUUUAAUAUUGUAAUAAAGAGCUGGCUCCAUCUUAUGAUAUCUGAUUGCCGAGAGCGCUGAAGUCUCACUUCUCUCUCUUCCCCUUAUGCACCACAUCUGGCUAAGCUUUUCAGGAAGCCUGGGAGAUGGAAACCUUGCAAGUCCCUCCCUGUGUAUGAGAACCCUUAUCCCCGCCCCACCCCACAAUAAAAAGCCCCAAGCAGCCUCCUUUUCU
rnacentral:lncRNA from 1 species